UACGUAGGGUGCAAGCGUUAAUCGGAAUUACUGGGCGUAAAGCGCACGUAGGCGGCUUUGUAAGUUAGAGGUGAAAGCCCGGGGCUCAACUCCGGAAUUGCCUUUGAGACUGCAUCGCUAGAAUUGUGGAGAGGUAAGUGGAAUUCCGAGUGUAGAGGUGAAAUUCGUAGAUAUUCGGAAGAACACCAGUGGCGAAGGCGACUUACUGGACACAUAUUGACGCUGAGGUGCGAAAGCGUGGGGAGCAAACAGG
rnacentral:rRNA from 1 species